rnacentral:rRNA from 1 species
CUACGGGGGGCUCCAGUGGGGAAUAUUGCACAAUGGGCGCAAGCCUGAUGCUGCCAUGCCGCGUGUAUGAAGAAGGCCUUCGGGUUGUAAAGUACUUUCAGCGGGGAGGAAGGGAGUAAAGUUAAUACCUUUGCUCAUUGACGUUACCAGCAGAAGAAGCACCGGCUAACUCCGUGCCAGCAGCCGCGGUAAUACGGAGGGUGCAAGCGUUAAUCGGAAUGACUGGGCGUAAAGCGCACGCAGGCGGUUUGUUAAGUUAGAUGUGAAAUCCCCGGGCUCAACCUGGGAACUGCAUCUGAUACUGGCAAGCUUGAGUCUCGUAGAGGGGGGUAGAAUUCCAGGUGUAGCGGUGAAAUGCGUAGAGAUCUGGAGGAAUACCGGUGGCGAAGGCGGCCCCCUGGACGAAGACUGACGCUCAGGUGCGAAAGCGUGGGGAGCAAACAGGAUUAGAUACCCCAGUAGUC